ACGUAGGCAGCAAGCGUUGUUCGGAGUUACUGGGCGUAAAGGGUGUGUAGGCGGUUGCUUAAGUUUGGUGUGAAAUCUCCCGGCUCAACUGGGGGGGUGCGCUGGAUACUGAGCGGCUAGAGUGUGGGAGAGGAAAGUGGAAUUCCUGGUGUAGCGGUGAAAUGCGUAGAUAUCAGGCGGAACACCGGUGGCGUAGACGGCUUUCUGGGCCGUAACUGACGCUGAGACACGAAAGCGUGGGGAGCAAACAG
rnacentral:rRNA from 1 species